GAAAUGCGAUAAGUAAUGUGAAUUGCAGAAUUCAGUGAAUCAUCGAAUCUUUGAACGCACAUUGCGCCCGCCAGUAUUCUGGCGGGCAUGCCUGUUCGAGCGUCAUUACAACCCUCAGGCCACCGGGCCUGGCGUUGGGGAUCGGCGGAAGCCCCCUGCGGGCACAACGCCGUCCCCCAAAUACAGUGGCGGUCCCGCCGCAGCUUCCAUUGCGUAGUAGCUAACACCUCGCAACUGGAGAGCGGCGCGGCCACGCCGUAAAACACCCAACUUCUGAAUGUUGACCUCGAAUCAGGUAGGAAUACCCGCUGAACUUAAGC
rnacentral:misc_RNA from 1 species